GAUGAACGCUGGCGGCGUGCCUAAUACAUGCAAGUCGAGCGAACGGACGAGAAGCUUGCUUCUCUGAUGUUAGCGGCGGACGGGUGAGUAACACGUGGAUAACCUACCUAUAAGACUGGGAUAACUUCGGGAAACCGUAGCUAAUACCGGAUAAUAUUUUGAACCGCAUGGUUCAAAAGUGAAAGACGGUCUUGCUGUCACUUAUAGAUGGAUCCGCGCUGCAUUAGCUAGUUGGUAAGGUACCGGCUUACCAAGGCAACGAUGCAUAGCCGACCUGAGAGGGUGAUCGGCGACACUGGAACUGAGACACGGUCCAGACGCCUAAGGGAGGCAGCAGUAGGGAAUCUUCCGCAAUGGGCGAAAGCCUGACGGAGCAACGCCGCGUGAGUGAUGAAGGUCUUCGGAUCGGAAAACUCUGUUAUUAGGGAAGAACAUAUGUGUAAGUAACUGUGCAGAGCUUGACGGUACCUAAUCAGAAAGCCACGGCUAACUACGUG
rnacentral:rRNA from 1 species